GUAAAAGUCUGAGAGAGAGAGAGAGAGAGAGAGUAGCAAAGACAAAGAGAUCCGAUGGGUUCCGGUCGCCGGUGAUGACGGGGCAUGAUGCCUUUAGAUGGAGCCACAACAGUGGUGGUCUAGGUGGUGUCGGGUUGGAGAAAUAAACAACAGUGGUGGUUCUAGGGUUUGACAGAAGACGAUGGUGUUUCUUUUGUUGAGAAGUGGCGGUGGAGACAAAGAUUAGGGUUCCGCGAUGUCUUUUGGUACAGUUCCGGCCAAACUCAGGGAAGGUUCGACUCUAUUGCAUGUUUCAGUAUUCCGUCAAGGUUCCGGCGAUCGAGUUUUAUGGAUGUAUGUUCAAGAUUUGAGUAGGUCGGUCCUCUAAAAGAAUUCCGUCAGCAGAACAUAUGCAGCCAUUCUUGGACUAUCUACGCUCAAAACCAUUGAAGAUAAAAAGUUAAAGCUAAUUUUUGGAGUUAUAGACAUCAUAUUAAUUCGAAAGUUACCGAAAAAUAUUACUUUGUCCAGUUUCUUCACAAAAAUGAUGGGUUGUAUGUAGCCAAAAGCUAAGCACAUUGAUUUGAAAACGCUCGGUUUUGAUUUGGUUUUAUGGUUUAUGAUCAGAAGUUUUCUCUGGGAGAUAAUUGGAUGUCACCCGAAGACUAUGUGGUAGUUUCAUUUGAAAAUGCUGACUUGGUUAUCCUUGAACUGUAUGUUGGACUUUAGAACAUUGUGUAUGGAACUUGAGCUUUGAAUUAGGCUACAUUCCAAUGUUCUUCUAUCUAACAGCCUAACUCUGCUAUUAGAGUUCAACUUAUCAAGAACAACAAGAAGAUUGUCUCUUUUGUUCCCAUUUUGCCAAUGAUGGUUCCUUGAACUACAUACUUUAGGGUCAAGGUGGUUAAUUUUUUUGGUGUUUCUCUUUUGGCUCUCUUCAAGGAGUAGGAAAAGCCAAGAUCUAAAAUUAUCAGAGGGUUUUUUGUACUGAUUUUGAAGUGUUUGUUAAGGAGCCUUAUUUAUAAACCUGUAGUUCGUAAAAGUUUUACCAUUUUCAAUGGACUUGCGCUGCAUUGUAGUUCAGAAACAAGAUGGGUUGAUUAUUAUCUAUAUUUUUACGUCGCCGCGCCGUCGCAACGCACGGCGGGUAAUAAUCUAUCUUGGCUGUAGCUAAUCUAUCUAACCUAACGGAUUUAACUCAAUGACAACUAGCUUAAUGUAAAUAUAAAUCUAGCCCCCUAC